rnacentral:tRNA from 2 species
GGAGCGGUAGUUCAGUCGGUUAGAAUACCUGCCUGUCACGCAGGGGGUCGCGGGUUC